UACAGAGGUCCCGAGCGUUGUUCGGAUUCACUGGGCGUAAAGGGUGCGUAGGCGGUUCUGAAAGUCUGAUGUGAAAUCUCCAGGCCCAACUUGGAAACUGCAUUAGAAACUACAGGGCUAGAGGCUUGGAGGGGGAACUGGAAUUCUCGGUGUAGCAGUGAAAUGCGUAGAGAUCGAGAGGAACACCUGCGGCGAAGGCGGGUUGCUGGGCUGACACUGACGCUGAGGCGCGAAAGCUAGGGGAGCGAACGGG
rnacentral:rRNA from 1 species